AUUGAACGCUGGCGGCAGGCCUAACACAUGCAAGUCGAACGAGUGGCGGACGGGUGAGUAAUGUCUGGGAAUCUGUCUGCUGGAGGGGGAUAACUACUGGCAACGGUAGCUAAUACCGCAUAACAUCAUAUGUGCCCAGAUGGGAGUAGCUUGUUGGUGUGGUAACGGCUUACCAUGGCGACGAUCCCUAGCUGGUCUGAGAGGUUGACCGGCCACACUGGAACUGAGACACGGUCCAGACGCCUACGUGAGGAAGCAGGGGGGAAUAUUGCACAAUGGGCGCAAGCCUGAUGCAGCCAUGCCGCGUGUAUGAAGAAGGCCGUCGGGUUGUAAAGUACUUUCAGCGGGGAGGCGUUACCCGCAGAAGAAGCACCGGCUAACUCCGUGCCAGCAGCCGCGGUAAUUC
rnacentral:rRNA from 1 species